AAAAAGGGCUUCUAUCGUUAAGUGGCACAUGUAGGGCAUCUCUUUUGCUCUACGUGUGGAAUCGACACCAAGAGAUUUCGGAAGGGUAAUUUUUGUUACCUGGGCUGCUAGUGAUCGUUGGUCCUGGCGCCCUA
rnacentral:snRNA from 1 species